rnacentral:lncRNA from 1 species
AAAAACAUGGUGUAAAAGCUAAAUAUGUUCAUACAUACUUUAAAUCAAAUAACUAAAGUAUAAAAUUACUUUUACAAUGACACAUGGGUCCCCAACUAACCAAUAAGAUGCGAGUCUGUGAACCUACAAUUUUGUCGAUGCAAGGCUAACUGAAGUCUUUGAUGCAAUCGGCUAUCUACCGGCUAUCCUAAGCCUGAAAUGUGGGGAAUUGAGGGUGGUGAGAUUAUAAAAUCCCAGUAAGUAAACAGAUACCAUCUAAACUAUCUAAAGGCGAGUAAACGGAGACGAAUUAAAAUAUUCUUUUCCAAUAUAUGUUUCAUAACAUGAAUAUUCAGUUUACUCAAUUAAUCAACAUGGCUUAUAUAUCUCACAAAACUUGGCUCCUACCAAAAUAAUUCUCGCGGGUACAUUUGUCAAGGUAUCCCACUGAGACCGCCAAGGCUGUUAAAAAUUCAUAUUUCGCAUAAAACACAUUUUUCGUUGAACAUCACAGCCGUUCCUUGGCGUUGGCUGAGUCUCACUCUCACGUGGUGGUUAACGUGAAGUGCACUCAAAAAGCCCACCUCAGGAGAUACCCUACGCGCCUCUACAACCGAGGUGAGAAUAUAAAGGAGUUUACCGUGCCCCUCUAAUAGGCUGGUCCACGGAACCCCCCACCACUGCAGUAGCUAAUCUUUAAUCCACCAAUUGAUCAAAUC